AAAGAGUCCGCCGCCUUCCCGGCCCCAGGCUCGGCCCCGGCCCGCGCUCCCGCCCCCUGGAGAGAAAAAGGAGUGCCUCGCGCCCUACGCCCCGAGGCGCGGACUGUGUCCAGCUUUGCCUGGUCUGAGAAGCAGAGGCAAAGCAAAGGGGAUGGCAACUCUUGAAUGAACUUCUGUAUGAAGAGUCUGAUGUUGAUGAGAGGU